rnacentral:rRNA from 1 species
GUGAGGAAUAUUGGUCAAUGGGCGAGAGCCUGAACCAGCCAAGUCGCGUGAAGGAAGACGGCCCUACGGGUUGUAAACUUCUUUUGCAAUGGAAUAAAAAGAGUUACGUGUAAUUCAUUGUAUGUACAUUGCGAAUAAGGAUCGGCUAACUACGUGCCAGCAGCCGCGGUAAUACGGAGGAUCCGAGCGUUAUCCGGAUUUAUUGGGUUUAAAGGGUGUGUAGGCGGAUUGGAAAGUCAGCGGUGAAAGUUUGCAGCUUAACUGUAAAAUUGCCAUUGAGACUGUCAGUCUUGAGUGCAAAUGAGGUAGGCGGAAUGUGUUGUGUAGCGGUGAAAUGCAUAGAUAUAACACAGAACACCGAUUGCGAAGGCAGCUUACUGGGAUGCAACUGACACUGAUGCACGAAAGCGUGGGUAUCAAACAGGAUUAGAAACCCGGGUAGUCC